AGAAUCAACGCUGGCGGCGUGCCUAACACAUGCAAGUCGAACGAGAAAGUGGAGCAAUCCAUGAGUAAAGUGGCGCACGGGUGAGUAACACGUGACUAACCUACCCUUGAGUGGGGGAUAACCUAGGGAAACCUGGGCUAAUACCGCAUAAUACCUUCGGGUCAAAGGAGCAAUUCGCUUAAGGAGGGGGUCGCGGCCGAUUAGUUAGUUGGCGGGGUAAUGGCCCACCAAGACUGUGAUCGGUAUCCGGCCUGAGAGGGCGCACGGACACACUGGAACUGAAACACGGUCCAGACUCCUACGGGAGGCAGCAGUGGGGAAUUUUGCGCAAUGGGGGAACCCUGACGCAGCAACGCCGCGUGGAGGAUGAAGUCCCUUGGGACGUAAACUCCUUUCGAUCGGGACGAUUAUGACGGUACCGGAAGAAGAAGCCCCGGCUAACUUCGUGCCAGCAGCCGC
rnacentral:rRNA from 1 species